AACGAACGCUGGCGGCGUGCCUAACACAUGCAAGUCGAACGAAAAGGCCCUGCUUUUGUGGGGUGCGCGAGGGGAGAACGGGGGAGUAACACGUGAGUAACCUGCCCUUGACUUUGGGAUAACUUCAGGAAACUGGGGCUAAUACCGGAUAGGAGCUCUUGCCGCUGGGUGGGGGCUGGAUGGUUUCGGCGGUUGGGGAUGGACUCGCGGCCCAUCAGCUUGUUGGUGGGGUAGUGGCUUACCAAGGCCUUGCCGCGUAGCAGGCCUGCGCGGGUGACCUGCCACGUUGGGAUUGGGCUGCGGCCCAGCCCCCUACGCUAGGCAGCAGUGCGGUAUAUUGCACUAUGGGCUGAAGCCAGAUGCGGCACCGCCGUGUGCGGUAUGACGGCCUUUCGUUUGUAUUCCGCUUCCGCCUUUCCCGAGGCGUGAGUGACGGUAAUGGGUAAAUAAGCUCCGGCUAACUACGUG
rnacentral:rRNA from 1 species